rnacentral:lncRNA from 1 species
AAGGAAUAUUAAGAAGAAAAUAAUUGGGUGAUGAGAUAAACAUUUCAUGAAUACAAGGAAUUGCAUAAAGAUUAUAUCAUGAAAGAUUUGAACAUGUGAAUACCAAAAGACAUGAUUUCUUAAAAAAAAAAACUCCUCAUAAAUAAUCAAGAGAGAAUAUUAGGAGAUCGAUUAAAGAAAAAAUCUUGAUUCAUAAUAAAAUUUCAUUUAUCGAAUAUCGAGAAAUCAAGAUGAUGAUUCAUAAAAAAA